UACGAAGGGGGCUAGCGUUGCUCGGAAUCACUGGGCGUAAAGCGCACGUAGGCGGCUUUCUAAGUCAGGGGUGAAAUCCUGGAGCUCAACUCCAGAACUGCCUUUGAUACUGGAGAGCUUGAGUCCGGAAGAGGUGAGUGGAACUCCGAGUGUAGAGGUGAAAUUCGUAGAUAUUCGGAAGAACACCAGUGGCGAAGGCGGCUCACUGGUCCGGUACUGACGCUGAUGUGCGAAAGCGUGGGGAGCGAACGAGG
rnacentral:rRNA from 1 species